rnacentral:rRNA from 1 species
AGUGAACGCUGGCGGUAGGCCUAACACAUGCAAGUCGAACGGCAGCACAGUAAGAGCUUGCUCUUACGGGUGGCGAGUGGCGGACGGGUGAGGAAUACAUCGGAAUCUACUUUUUCGUGGGGGAUAACGUAGGGAAACUUACGCUAAUACCGCAUACGACCUACGGGUGAAAGCAGGGGAUCUUCGGACCUUGCGCGAUUGAAUGGGCCGAUGUCGGAUUAGCUAGUUGGCGGGGUAAAGGCCCACCAAGGCGACGAUCCGUAGCUGGUCUGAGAGGAUGAUCAGCCACACUGGAACUGAGACACGGUCCAGACUCCUACGGGAGGCAGCAGUGGGGAAUAUUGGACAAUGGGCGCAAGCCUGAUCCAGCCAUACCGCGUGGGUGAAGGAGGCCUUCGGGUUGUAAAGCCCUUUUGUUGGGAAAGAAAAGCAGCAGGUUAAUACCCCGCUGUUCUGACGGUACCCAAAGAAUAAGCACCGGCUAACUUCGUG